UUAUAAUGAUGGUAACAUUUUUUGUCAGCAGCAGUUCACCUGCUGAGUUACUUUGGGUCUGAGUGA